AGCUCGUCUCCCACCACCGAGUUCCUCUAUUUCCCACCCCUUCCUCUUUCUCUCGCAAAAUUCGCCCCAGUAAGGAAAAUGUAUUAUGAUUUCUGGAAGCUACUACUUUCUCAUCCUCCCCUGUGAACGGCUGAGCAAAGAAUUAAUUUAGACUUUUGCAAAGUCGGGGUCUCUCUCAUUAAAGUAAUCCCAGCGUCUCUGGGAGGCCUGGAAACGCCUGCCGUCCCCGGCCAUGCCAGCCAGCCGUCCACCUUCCUGGCCUGCACCUGCGGUGGUGGGACGGGCAGCUGCAGGGAGUGGAGCCCCAGCCUGUGCAGUCUGAAUAAUGGACACACAGCCCUGAUGCACCAGGAGGAACUGUGAGACAGCUUCCUUUCACCUCUUCACACAGGCCCUGAUGAGGAGGCCGAUGGAGACGAGAGUGACCCACGUCCCCUUAGCAGUCCUCAAAAUUGAAACCAAGAGAGGAGUUUACGUCCCUUCACAUGGCAUACUAAUUUUUAAAACUCUAUAAAAAAAAACAAACCAAGCCCUACUCCAUGGGAUGGCUCUUGCUGCACCCCAGACCUCUGGACUCUCAUGUAAAUGUCUGUUUUGUUUCCUGAGCCGGCUCCAGCACACCCUGUCCACGGGAAAGUCCACCAGCGAGAAGGCCGGGCUGGGGCCCGGAGGGAAGAUGGAGCCUGGUGGAGGCUCAGCGUGGAGGGGGGUGGGCACAAGGGGGUCCUUGCAGGUAGGGACUCCACAGUGGCCCAGCGGGUCCCUUGCCGGGGUGUUUGGAGAUACAGGAGUGGGGGCUCUGCGCUGGCUCCUCCGCGCCCUCAAAACAGCAGCUUAAAACAACAGACAUUUAUCAAUCACCCCACGUCCUGAGGGCCGGAACCUUGGAGGCAGCUUCUCGGGGUGCUUGCAGCCCAGGAUGUGGGCAAGCUGAGGUCGGGCCGCAGGCUCCCCCUCGGGCUGUGGCUGGCGGCAGGAGGCUUCAGUUCCUCCCCACAGGCCCCCUCCACGGUGUGGCUUCAGAGGGGGCCUGGCAGAAGGGUGGGCGGAGGGCGACCCCAGGAUCAGGAUCGCUGGUCACUGGGUGUGGGCGCUCUUGGCCGAUCCUGUGGGAGGGCACAGCAGGGUCCCCGCAGGGGAAUCCCUGCAGGCCAGUCGCCACAGGCUGGUGUAUUUAGAGAGCCCGCCAGGAGCCCAGCUCGCGGGCGGGCGGGCUCUAGGAAUUCAGCAGGAAACAAAGGAGGCGCUGUCCCUGCCUGGAGCUCCUCUUAGCGCAAGGCACAGAGGGGGCAGGUGAGCGCGGGAUGCAUUCGUCUCACUGACCCAAGGUGUCUUCUUUAAUCUCCGACAUCUCUGCGAUGCCGUACAUCCUGGCUGAGGCGAUGUCAUUGUGUAUUUGAUGUUUUAGGUUCCUGCUCUUCAGGGCAGGGUACGAGAGCUCAUUAAAACCAUGAAUUGAGGAGACUGAA